rnacentral:rRNA from 1 species
UACGGAGGGUCCGAGCGUUGUCCGGAAUUAUUGGGCGUAAAGGGCUCGUAGGCGGUUUGUCACGUCGGGAGUGAAAACUCAGGGCUCAACCCUGAGCGUGCUUCCGAUACGGGCAGACUAGAGGUAUGCAGGGGAGAACGGAAUUCCUGGUGUAGCGGUGGAAUGCGCAGAUAUCAGGAGGAACACCGGUGGCGAAGGCGGUUCUCUGGGCAUUACCUGACGCUGAGGAGCGAAAGCAUGGGGAGCGAACAGG